rnacentral:lncRNA from 10 species
GCAGUUUGAUCUCAGACUGCUGUGCUAGCAAUCAGCAAGACUCCGUGGGCGUAGGACCCUCCAAGCCAGGUGCGAUAUAAUGUCGUGGUGCGCCGUUUUUUAAGCUGGUUGGAAAAGCGCAGUAUUCGCGUGGGAGUGACCCGAUUUUCCAGUGAGAUGAACCCGGUACCUCAGAUUGAAAUGCAGAAAUCACCCGUCUUCUGCGUCGCUCACGCUGGGAGCUGUAGACCGGAGCUGUUCCUAUUCGGCCAUCUUGGCUCCUCCCUCAGUUCUGGAGACUGGGACAUCCAAGGUCAAUGUGCUGGCAGAUUCAAUGUCUGGAUUGGCAAACACAAAUCAUGUUCCAAGUUCUGCCUUCCACCUGAGUGAAAUACAUCACCGCUUUCCCUGCUCCCGCCGCCAUUAAAAUUGUGUUUGGCAUCUGACCACCAAGAUACAGAUAUUUCCUAGACUGUUUUGCAGCUAGGUACUUAGAUAGUAAUGAAGAUAGGGGCCACCAUUCCCUGUGAAAAUCAAGUGGGAAAGUCCUGAGUCCUUUAAUGACUUUACAGAGGACAGAAUAAACUCCUAUCAUAUUCAUGCAAUUGUGCCUAUGGG